UUGAGAUUGGUUGAUUAAUUGACUAGUUGCGGAUAAGGAAAUUAAAUACAAGGUACACUGAUAAUUUCUAAAAAAAUUUAAUGUCAGAAAUAUACUGCAUUUUUAUAAUUUACUCUAAAAUAUGCAUGUUUUCAAGCUGAGUUUAAUAAAUGGAUAUUCAUUUAAUGCUCAUUGCUAUUUGGCAGCUUAACUGUAGUUUAAAAGCCUUGAAAAAUCCUCAAAAACCUAAAAUGGGAAAGCUAAACUAAAGAACACAGGAAACAUGGAAAAUGUUGCAAAAACCUUACAACCUUGAACGAGGAACAUAAGACAUGAAAACAUCAGGGAGGGAACACAGAUGAUAACACAGGAGAGAAUACAGACGAUCCGACAAAGAACACACUAAAUAUACACACACAAAAGGAAACGAGGAAUUGGCAGACAGGCACGAAACACAGCUGACACUAAUCAGAUGAGAAGAGACCAGGAGGAGAAUACACCGAUGCAGGGCAGGGACUAUCAAAGUAAAACAGGAAUAAACACGAAUAUCGAACCAGGGACAAUACACUGAAGACAAGGGAGGUACAGAGAACACCUAAACACUGGAAAUAAUUAACAAAUAACUAGGAAACUAACUGACACAAUGAAUAUUAAUAAACACAAACAACCAAGGAGACUGCGGACCAUGACAAUUGGUUUAUUUAAAACAAAAGUUUAAAAAAAUACAAAAUGUUGUUUUCUCUAGUAGAAGAAAUUAAACACUAUCAGAAUAUUCUUUAUAAAUAGAUAGCAUUGUUGUGGAUUAUAAGGAAUAAGCAUUAACAUAUCUACUGUUAAGCUGUAAAAACAAGUAGACAUCUAACAUGAAUAUUUUAUAUGAUUAUUUUCAAAGAUAUUAAAGUAUAUAGUCAGUCUCACCUUACAGAUUUUUGUGUCCUAAUCGAUCCGCUGCAUCGUCCAUUGGCAAGGUGGUCGGAGUGUGUUCGAAGAAUGUGAUACCAAAAUUAGCUGUAAACACGAUAUUCUUUGACACAUCCAUCUAUGCCACAAUCUUCACGGAAAUCUGGACUAUGGCUAUGUGCAGAAUUAAUAUGACUCAGUAGGGAUUUGAGGGUCAGACCCACAAAAACGAUGUAGAUAACACAGCGCCAAAUCAUUUUGUUUUACUGGUCUGUGAACUACUUUUCCCAUAAAGUCAAGAUAACCAGGAUUAUUCCAUUAUGGGGUAGAAAUGGCUAUCCUAAUUCAGUGCCUUAUAACAGCUGUAGUAUAAAAGAGCGAACUAAACCAUUUCCGUACACAACCCCAUACUCCUGAGUUGGUACAGCCCACCUUCCCGCCUCUAGCUCCGUGCCUAAGCGGUUGGAUUGCAGGAUUUUGGGGUCUGGGUGUAGAUGCGAUACAGUUGGUACAGUGUGAAGAAAUUAAGGCACGCUAUGGAAAAACUGGACGAAAUAACAAUUGCCAAUCUGAAAGGUAUGUGACUGUUUUGUUUUUUCUAUGUUUUGUGUUCUGGUAUGUUGCAUGUUAAGUCGCUAGCAUGGCAGGCUAUACCCGGUUGUUAGCUUAGCUUAGCUGUGCGGUUAGCUUAGUUGCAUUAGCAUUUUUAAAUAUGCUAGUGCAGAAAGUUAUGAAAGAAUUCAUGUCCAGUUAUUAGUUUCAGUGUCUGUGAAUUUAUUCAACAAGUGUGCAAAGUGCCAUAAGUUAAUGCCAGUUUUACAGAAAUUGUAGGAGUUUCAAAUUUCUAUUAGUGAAGUUAUUUCAUUAUAUACUUUAGCCCAGGAAGCAAAAAAAAAAAAAAAUACAUUUAUAUGUAUACAUGCAUUUAAUUGAUGUAUCACAAAUAUAUUACUUUUACCAGUCAAUAGGAGGAAGGUAAUUUAGAACCUGUGGAGCAGUGAGGAGGGAGAAUAAUGGAAUAGAGUCAUGGUUUUAAAUGGUAAAUAUUAAAUUAUGUUUCCUAUGUAUCCUGUCUGUUACCCAAGCAAAGCUGUCAGCUGGCUUGCACAUGAGGAUGAUGCAAUGUAGUGAUAAUUGGAAACUCCUAUUGCAGAAGCAAAUGUUGGAGAAGACCUGCUCUCAUCACUUUCACGAGAUGACAUCAAAGAUCUGUUUCCUGGUCCUGAACAUUGCCUCAGGCGUCGGGCUCUAUGGCUUGCAGUGCACAAAUGUGAAGAAUGGAACAUGCAGCAGCUGUGUUCAGAGCCCUUCCCAUGCUUUUCCCUUCCAGCACAGUACCACCUAAGAAGCUGGGCAUCUGUAGUGAGGCUUUUUUCCAUGUCCUAAAGACUUCAGAAGACCCUGAAGGCUACCUGCGUCAGCGACCCCUGGCUUGUCCAGUUCUGCUUGUCUCUGAAGGCAACUGCAUGAUAGCUGUUGGAACCACACCGGUGAGCACUUUUGACCGGAAGGAUCUUAAUGAGGGACUGCUCUAUCUGAUGGCAUAUUACUAUGCCCUCCACCUCACAUAUCCAUAGUGCAUUUCCACGCUGCUGUCUGUCUUGCAAACUGAAAUACUCAAAGACUCCAUCCAUGACCGAGAUUCAACCCCCUCUUACAAGAAGGCGCUUGGUGAGUGGAAGUCAUUCAUUGAGUGAGUCUCCCAGAUGACAGACUCCAUCUGCCUUGUUUAUCAGACUCAGUGUUAGUCAGUGAGGUUGUUUUUUUUUCUAUAGAAAAGUUGUUCAAAUGUAAAACACAUGUUUGUUUGUGUGGUCGUUAAACUUGUUCUUCUAAAAUGUUAUGUAAUAUAGGAUUUGAAAUAGUGAUUGUUUUAAGCUUCAGCAAAAUUUAUUUUUGAUACCAGCCAUGAGUGUGUUAUACUGUUAUUAUUCAUUUUAAGAGUAUCUGGAAUAUGCACUUCUUAUAUUGGCCAUGUUACACAGUACCCUGCUGAAAUGUAUAAUUUUAGGCAUGAUUCUCCUGGAACAGACCUCAGUGAGUUACUGACCCAUUGCUGUGUCAAUAAAAGCGCAAAAUCUAAGAGUGCUUUUGCUGUCUUAAUUUAAGAUGAAUUCCCUUAUUUUUAGUAGCUUUUUGAAGAGAUGGUGUCUUAUUCUCAGGAAUUUUUGCUGAUUAUUGUUCUCAGAGUCGAAACAUAAUUCUUAUAGUUAGCUC
ensembl:lncRNA